rnacentral:rRNA from 1 species
CUACGGGGCGCUGCAGUGGGGAAUAUUGCACAAUGGGGGAAACCCUGAUGCAGCAACGCCGCGUGGAGGAUGACACAUUUCGGUGCGUAAACUCCUUUUAUAGGUCAAGAUAAUGACGGUAGCCUAUGAAUAAGCGCCGGCUAACUCCGUGCCAGCAGCCGCGGUAAUACGGAGGGCGCAAGCGUUACUCGGAAUCACUGGGCGGAAAGAGCAUGUAGGCGGGUUAAUAAGUCAGAAGUGAAAUCCAAUAGCUCAACUAUUGAACUGCUUUUGAAACUGUUAACCUAGAGUGUGGGAGAGGUAGAUGGAAUUUCUGGUGUAGGGGUAAAAUCCGUAGAGGUCAGAAGGAAUACCGAUUGCGAAGGCGAUCUACUGGAACAUUACUGACGCUGAGAUGCGAAAGCGUGGGGAGCAAACAGGAUUAGAUACCCCUGUAGUC